CGGUCUCUUUUUGGUGGGGUGGGGGUGGGCUAAAGCCAUAGGAAGAAAAAUGUGAUGUAUGUGUCCAGUAUGUACUAUUUUGUUUUUGUUUUGCAAGAAGAGUUGAACUAUUUUUGAUAACAAGAGUAAAUGGUGGAAAAUGCUUCUUAGUUGUCUUGUCUUUAUUUGCUUUCCAAGUUUUGGAAUUUUAUUUAAUUCCUUUAAGUGUUAGCAGUGUUUAUGAAACAUGUAUUUACCUAAAGUUUGUAACAGUUUUGUGUUGAACCCAGAUACCCUGCUAUAUAAACUUGUAAAUCUGUUCUUUAUUCACUAAUGAUCACUGCAAAAAUGACUAGAAAUGAUAUUGUACAACACAUGGAUGAGUAGGAUAUAUUUUGCAAAUCUCUCAAACUUUCCUAAUAUUAUGAUCUUAAAAUUCUUGAAGUACUUUAUUCCUUCCCAACUUUGAUAAUAUUAAUUUUGUGUUUUUUGAUGCAUGGGAGGUUGGCAAUAUAGACAAAGUGGAAAUCAUUAGUAUGUGAGGACCUUGAUCGUUAUGUAAUAUUGCCAAUGAUGAAUUCAGGUUGUUUUUAGCACAAGUUUUCUCUUUUUUAUGCUGGUAUUCUCACUGCCACAUUUUUGGAAACCUGUAUUACACCUUAAAUCUAUCAAUAAAUGAUAGUUUUCUAAUUCUA
rnacentral:lncRNA from 1 species